rnacentral:hammerhead_ribozyme from 1 species
GCACUGCUGAGGAGUCCCACAACAGGACGAAACGAAGUCCAGUGC